GAUGAACGCUAGCGGCAGGCCUAAUACAUGCAAGUCAAGGGGAUAGCAAUAUCACCGGCGGACGGGUGCGUAACGCGUACACAACGUGCCCAAGGGCGGAGGAAAGCGGCGGGAAACUGCCGGUAAUACUCCAUGGUGUUGUUGAGUGGCAUCACUUAACAACUAAAGUACAAGCGCCCUUGGAUCGGUGUGCGUUCGAUUAGCUAGUUGGCGGGGUAACGGCCCACCAAGGCUUCGAUCGAUAGGGGGUGUGAGAGCAUGACCCCCCACACGGUACGUNAGACACGGACCCGACCUCCUACGGGAGGCAGCAGUAAGGAA
rnacentral:rRNA from 1 species